AAAGGUACUCAAGGGCGCUAAAUGGAUGCCUGGACGUAUAUUACCGAUGAAGGACGUGGAAGACUGCGAUAAGCUUCGGGAAGCUGUCAACAAGCUUUGAUCCGGAGAUCUCCGAAUGGGGAAACCCAGCAUGAGUCAUGUCAUGUUGCCACUUGCUGAACACAUAGGCAAGCGAGCGGGAACCAUCUGAACUGAAACAUCUUAGUAGGAUGAGGAAGAGAAAGUAAAUAACGAUUGCGAAAGUAGUGGCGAGCGAAAUCGCAACAGCCCAAACCUUUUAAGUUUUUGCCUAUUAAUUUAGGCAAAUAAGUUGAUAGACGAAUACUUAUAAGGGGUUGUGAUAUUACAUAUGACCAAGUCAGAGAAUUUGAUUCAUUCAAAUAAUCUGAUUUGCGAUAACUGGCUAUCAACAGUUAGUAAGGUAAGAAAUCGGCGUGGUUAGUAGAAUAGUUUGAAUGACUAGCCAAAGAACGUGAAAGCCGUGUAUAUGAAAACGACGCUGACCUUAUGUAUGUUUUAUCGAGUAGGACGGGGCACGAGAAACCCUGUUUGAAUCUGGCUGGACCACCAGCCAAGGCUAAAUAUAAUAUACGAUCGAUAGUGAACUAGUACAGUGAUGGAAAGGUGAAAAGAACCCCGGGAGGGGAGUGAAAUAGAUCCUGAAAUUUAGUGCCUACAAGGAGUCGGAGCCGGCUUGUCCGGUGACGGCGUGCUUUUUGUAGAACGAUCCAGCGAGUUAAUUUUUACAGCGAGGUUAAGUCAAUUGACGGAGCCACAGUGAAAGCGAGCCUGAAUAGGGCGAUUAAGUUGUAAGGAUUAGACCCGAAACCGGGUGACCUAACCAUGAGCAGGUUGAAGCCACUGUAACAGGUGGUGGAGGACCGAACCAGGAUACGCAGCAAAGUGUUUGGAUGACUUGUGGUUAGCGGUGAAAUGCCAAUCGAACUCGGAGAUAGCUGGUUCUCCUCGAAAUAGCUUUAGGGCUAGCGUCGUGUUAGUAGCACAUGGGGGUAGAGCUCUGUAAAGGACUGGGGCGGGCAACUGUACCCACCCUUAACAAACUACGAAUACCAUGUGUGUAAUCACGGCAGUUAGAACAUCGGUGCUAAGAUCGGUGCUCAAAAGGGAAACAGCCCAGACCAUCAUCUAAGGUCCCUAAAUUAACGUUCAGUGGGAAACAAGGUGAGAUUUCUUAAACAGCUAGGAUGUUGGCUUAGAAGCAGCCAUUCAUUUAAAGAGUGCGUAACAGCUCACUAGUCAAGAGAUCUUGCGUGGAAAAUGUAACGGGGCUAAAACGUUAUACCGAAGAUAUGGAUUACACGCUAAGUACAAAGUUAAAGUUGUGUUACAAUCAAUUUAUGGAAAAUGAGAUUUACGUAGGUAGCGUUUAUAAACACUAUAAAGGCAAUAAGUAUGUUGUUGUAAGUAUAGCUGUUCAUACUGAGACGCUUGAAGAGCUUGUAGUUUAUCGAGCCAUUUAUGGCGACGGAGAACUGUGGGCUAGACCUAAGAAAAUGUUUUUAGAUAAUAUUGAAAAGAACGGAAAGAUCAUUCCAAGGUUUAAAUUGAUUAAAAAACUUUGAUUUUGUUCUUAGUGUGUAGUGGUAGAGGAGCGUUCCUAUCAGCAGUGAAGUCGAAUCGGAAGGUUCGGUGGAGCGGUAGGAAGUGAGAAUGCUGGAAUGAGUAACCAUAAGAGAGGUGAGAAUCCUCUCGGCCGUAAGAGCAAGGUUUCCUGAGCCAUGGUAAUCAUCUCAGGGUUAGUCGGGCCUAAGCCGAGGCGCAGAGCGUAGGCGAUGGACAUCAGGUUAAUAUUCCUGAACCGGUUAAGUUUUGUACACUGUUCACGGGGAAGUAAUCGAAGCGGAUUCAUGGUUUAUCCGUCCAACCGAGCGGGAACGCAAAGGGAGUGAAAGUGAUUCUUCGGAGUCGCGAUUUUGGUGAAAGCCCUGGCUAGAAAAGCAGGUGUACGCGUGGACUUAGCCGCCCGUACCGCAAACCAACACAGGUGCUCGAGUCGAGUAGACUCAGGCUUACGAGCGAACCUUCGCUAAGGAACUCGGCAAUACAGCGACCGUAACUUCGGGAUAAGGUCUGCCCCCACUUCGGUGGAUAUCAGCCGCGUUCACUCAGUGAAUAUUAGGUUAAAGAGUACAUUUUUAAUCACAAAACGAAUUUUCUGAGAUAGAGCAAACGAAUUGUUCUUUGAACGCGAACCUCUGGCAUCUAACGAUGUGGGGGCCGCAGCAAAAGAGCCCACGGAACUGUUUAUCAAAAACACAGGUCUCUGCUAACACGAAAGUGGAUGUAUAGGGGCUGACUCCUGCCCAAUGCUGGAAGGUUAAGGGGAGCGCUUCACGGUGCGAACUGAAGCCCUAGUCAAUGGCGGCGGUAACUAUAACCGUCCUAAGGUAGCGAAAUUCCUUGUCAGGUAAGUUCUGACCCGCACGAAUGGAGUAAUCAUGUGGGCACUGUCUC
rnacentral:rRNA from 1 species